rnacentral:rRNA from 1 species
GACGAACGCUGGCGGCGUGCUUAACACAUGCAAGUCGAACGGUGAAGCGCCUUCCUUUUUGGUGGGUGUGGAUGAGUGGCGAACGGGUGAGUAACACGUGAGUAACCUGCCCCCUUCUUCUGGAUAACCGCAUGAAAGUGUGGCUAAUACGGGAUAUUCUGGGUCUGUCGCAUGAUGGGUCUGGGAAAGAUAUUGUUUCGGUGGGGGAUGGGCUCGCGGCCUAUCAGCUUGUUGGUGGGGUGAUGGCCUACCGAGGCGGUGACGGGUAGCCGGCCUGAGAGGGUGGACGGUCACACUGGGACUGAGACACGGCCCAGACUCCUACGGGAGGCAGCAGUGGGGAAUAUUGCACAAUGGGCGCAAGCCUGAUGCAGCGACGCCGCGGGAGGGAUGGAGGCCUUCGGGUUGUGAACCUCUUUCGCCAGUGAAGCAGGCCUGCCUCGUUUGUGGGUGGGUUGACGGUAGCUGGAGAAGAAGCGCCGGCUAACUACGUG